rnacentral:rRNA from 1 species
CAUUACAGAGUUCACGCCCUCGCGGGUAGAUCUCCCACCCUUUGAAUAUUAUACCUUUGUUGCUUUGGCGGGCCGCUUCGGCUACCGGCUUCGGCUGGUGAGUGCCCGCCAGAGGACCCAAAAUUCUGAAUAUUAGUGUCGUCCGAGUACUAUAUAAUAGUUAAAACUUUCAACAACGGAUCUCUUGGUUCUGGCAUCGAUGAAGAACGCAGCGAAAUGCGAUAAGUAAUGUGAAUUGCAGAAUUUAGUGAAUCAUCGAAUCUUUGAACGCACAUUGCGCCCCCUUGGUAUUCCAGGGGGCAUGCCUGUUCGAGCGUCAUUAUAACCCUCAAGCCUAGCUUGGUGUUGGGGCAUGCCUUUUUGGCAGCCCUUAAAAUUAGUGGCGGUGCUAUUAGGCUCUAAGCGUAGUAAUCUCUCUCGCUAUUGGGUUCUAAUAGACACUUGCCAAACCCCCCAACUUUCUAAGUUUG